UAUAUUUCUUUAUUGUUUGACAUGCAUAUUUGUUUAAUGGCCCUCUGCUCCGCCAGUAUGGAAGCUCCAAAAGGAAAGAUACCAGAUUGAUCUUGAUCACCUCUGCCUCCCCAGCACCUAGCCUUCCUUGGCACAUCGUAAGUGCUCAAGUCAGGCUGUGCAACAUGCACCCAACCUUGCCUGGGGUCAUUCAUCCUACAUGUACUCAGAUCGCGUGAACUGGUGAUGGGCCACCCAUGUGCCUGCCUGGAGAUUCCUAUUCAUCCCUCAGAUCAACAUCCCCCAAAUAAACUCCCAGUCACUCUGGCA